GAUGAAGAACGCAGCAAAAUGCGAUAAGUAAUGUGAAUUGCAGAAUUCAGUGAAUCAUCGAAUCUUUGAACGCACAUUGCGCCCGCUGGUAUUCCGGCGGGCAUGCCUGUUCGAGCGUCAUUUCAACCCUCAAGCCCCCGGGUUUGGUGUUGGGGAUCGGCUCUGCCUUACGGCGGUGCCGCCCCCGAAAUACAUUGGCGGUCUCGCUGCAGCCUCCAUUGCGUAGUAGCUAACACCUCGCAACUGGAACGCGGCGCGGCCAUGCCGUAAAACCCCAACUUCUGAAUGUUGACCUCGGAUCAGGUAGGAAUACCCGCUGAACUUAAGCAUAUCAAUAAGCGGAGGA
rnacentral:misc_RNA from 1 species